UUAAAGGAUAGAACCUCCUCCGGGAGUCCGGUUAGAGAUGGGAGCCGGAAAGAGCUGAACGUGCCCCGAGAACGAGUGAGCCGAAAGCUAGGGUCUCGGGCAACCCCGGCGGCGCCCCGCCUUCGAGGCGGCGGGGAAGACCCUGCAGACUCUGGUGGACUCCAGGCGGCGUAGAGGGGGAGCAGCCGGAGGCGGGUGCUCCCAGCGCACUGGCCCUCGGAGAAGCCGCCCAAUUACGAGCACUCGCCACCGAGGCUCCCGAGACGCCCAGCAGCAAGGGCAGCGACCUGAAGCUUCACCCCCCUCCUUCCUCGACCCGGAUCUCCUCCGUCUAGGCUAGCGCGUCUCAGAGGACCCCACACCUCGCGCUCCCAGCUCCGGGUCCGGACUCGCCGGCGUCCCCACCCUCCAGCGCCGCCGCCUGGCGCCGGCUUCUCGCUCCUCUUGCCUUCGUCGUCCCGCGUCCGGAAGCGCGAUGGCCUCACCGCAGCCCCGGAAACAGCGAUUCCUCAGUAGGAAUGACAGUUCCUGAAAAUGUUAAUUCCGAUUAACAGUGUGGGAAUGAGCAAGGCAUUGACAAAGGAAUGGUUUGAAAACAAGAUUUUGAAGUGGCAGCUAACCUGGUAUGACAGCUGGCUGGCAUAGGCAAGGGGGAGAUGUGUUGGUCUUCUGAACUGGAGAUGUGUUUUUGCAACAAUUCUGGAAAAUUUUCAGAUGAAGAAACUGAGGCACAGAGAGUGAACAACUUGCCCACUUGGCCCAGCAGAUGAGUGGCAGGCCAGGUUCAAGCCCUGGUCAUCGGUUUGCAUUUCAAUUCCACACCUGCUGUUUUUCAUAAUAAUAAAAGAAAAUGUU